rnacentral:rRNA from 1 species
UACGUAGGGUGCAAGCGUUGUCCGGAAUUAUUGGGCGUAAAGAGCUCGUAGGCGGUUCGUCGCGUCGGCUGUGAAAACCUGAGGCUCAACCUCAGGCCUGCAGUCGAUACGGGCGGACUUGAGUACUGCAGGGGAGACUGGAAUUCCUGGUGUAGCGGUGAAAUGCGCAGAUAUCAGGAGGAACACCGGUGGCGAAGGCGGGUCUCUGGGCAGUAACUGACACUGAGGCGCGACAGCGUGGGGAGCAAACAGG